AGCGUGCGCAGGCGGUUAUAUAAGACAGAUGUGAAAUCCCCGGGCUCAACCUGGGAACUGCAUUUGUGACUGUAUAGCUGGAGUGCGGCAGAGGGGGAUGGAAUUCCGCGUGUAGCAGUGAAAUGCGUAGAUAUGCGGAGGAACACCGAUGGCGAAGGCAAUCCCCUGGGCCUGCACUGACGCUCAUGCACGAAAGCGUGGGGAGUUCAAACAGGAUUAGAUACCCCUGU
rnacentral:rRNA from 1 species